UACAGCCAUAUCACGUGGAAACACCAGUUCCCAUAUGAUUACAGAAGUUAAGCAAUGCUGAACCUAUUCAGUAUCUAGAUAGGUGACCAUUUGUGAAUACCAGGUACUGUAA